GAUUUAUUUUAACAAGACUUAGAGCGUGCAGAGCACUACGAACACGUCUAACCACCGCUGCGUUAUCGCGAUCAAUCAACCCCGCUUACUUCGAGUUCACGUUUUUAUAAUUCUCUUUCUUUUAUACCGCGUUACAUGAUUGGGUAUCAUGAGUCACCAGCACUAUCGAUCGACCCCAACACCGUGAGCCCCUCCUUGGAAAGACCUUCACACAUCGAGAGGGAUAAUGUGUGGAAUGCAGCUACAUCCGCGAUAACAGAACUCCCUCAACAUCGCGAUCACCCUACAGGAAAUAACCGUCGUGGAAUGUGGAGACAUCCCUAGAAGCUACAAGUCUCCCCCAACAUCGCGAUCAACCCUAAAGGAAGUUACUGUUGUGGAAUGCAGAGACAUCCGUAGAAGCUAGAAGUCUCCCCCAACAUCGCGAUCACCCCAACGGAAGCCACCAUCGUGGAAUGCGGUUAUAUCGGAGUUCCCCCUCAACUGAUAGCAAAGGAGAUAGAAUCAUCGGCUAGGGCUAUAUAAGGCAGAGGUUAGGAACAAACAGUGGCUUAUUUCUCAAUUGUAUCUCGUAGACGUUGGUGAUAGGCUUAUGCGGAGUCUUAACAAUUAUAAUAAAA